UACUGGUUUAGGUAGCAUUUUUUACUAUGGGUUCAGGUGAACCGGCCCAAACCGGUAGCAUUAAAUGCAUUUUAUAUCUUGAAAUGACUUUGUGGUUACUGGGAAUCAAAAGCAUCCCUAUGACAAAAGACUAGACAACCCCAUAACCUGUUUUGAUCAAGCACAAAAGGAGUGGAGAAGAGUGCUUGAGUUGGGGAGACUUACUCAGAUAGUUUGCAACCUUCCGUAGGCGAGGUUCCCCUUUGACUUUCUCUCUCCAUGUUUCCCAGGAACGAAGUUGCAAAUCCAAACCGACUGUCAGCUGUGGUCACAUGAGCCUCAUAAAUUUUCUCUCUGCAAGCUCCCCAGGCUUCCAUUAUGACCUGAAGGAGUCGGGGAACACUCUGAGUGGGAAUCACAUAUCAUUGGUUUAGAUACAUUUCCUUGCUGAAAUAGAAAAACGGAAUGACUAUGGGAGGACAAAAAAAAAUCAGUGGGAGUGAAAAAUAAAUUUCCUCAUGCAAAGCUGGAAGUGAGGGUUGGAAACCAACCUCCCUCCCUCCCUCCCGCCCUCCCUUCAAGCAAGCAAGCAAGGCAUGACUUGGGAGACUCUUUCUAAUCCUUCGCUAGCAGCAGCCAGUUGAAGGUAUCCAUAUUUACUCCGUAGAAUAAAGUAACAAGUAAUGUUACAUCUCUAUGUGUGUUUCUGCUCUAUCCUUACGUAAUACCUAAGCAUUUCUAUGUGAACACUGGGAAGCACAAGGCAGCUACAUUCAUUUUGCUCUGGAUCACAUGAGCAAGAGAGAAUAGCAAGAAUGUUGACUGGGUGGGUGCAGUCACCAAUAUUUUGAUUCUGUCCAGUUUCUUUACCCAUAAUGAUGCACUGGGAAAACUUUUUCAGGUUGUUUUUCCGCUGUAGCCCCCAUCUUUCAUUAGACCUAUCCUGUUUUCAGAGUUGGUUUUUCUUUUGCUAGUCUUUCUCCUAACUGCAAAAUGGAUUUGCUCUGGUCAUUUUUCUGAGAGUUGUAUUGUUGAAGUGCAGACAAAAUUUUGAGCCCCUCAUUUCCAACAUCCUGCUGGAUUGGAAUGAAUUUAAAAGUGUCAAUGUGUGUAGAGAUAUGACAUGUGACUUUCUCCCCACUUUUCUUCUUUAAAGUUCAGAACAAUAAAGCAAAGUGAAAGCAGUACUCUUUAGCUUCUAGUGUGGUUAUUCAAAAUGUUUACAUGUGCCAGAGACUUUAACCUUUGCAUGAUAGGAAAGAAGAAAUGCUGAUAAUGUAUGAGCAAUAUACUCAAACUUAUUAAUAUUUGCUAGUAGUUUUUCUUGUUUAAUGUUGAUGGAUUUCUUUUCACCAGAGAAGUAAUAGAUAAAAUAUUUCCUUAAAGUUUUGAAUAGGAGAGCUAACCAGACCUCGAAAGAUAACACACCCCGUUUUAUUAUCCACUUGUUGAUAUUCAACCAAGGCUCCUCACAUGUAGAUUGGCAGGAGAGCAGACCUGUCCCCCCGGGAGCCUUGCUGACAUCUGGGUAGGACUUCUAACCUGCAGACCUUAAGCGAAGUGGGAUCCUUAAUUACACACAUGGGAACGGUCCCGAGUUGAAAGGACAGAAAAAUAACAUUCCAGGAGCAGUUGCGUGUUCUCUGCAAUGUUUCCUCAGCCCUCCAAGCUAACCUUCUCCUCGCAGGUGUGCAACUACCCAAUAGAGAAGACAUUCUGAAAGUCCUUGAACAUACUGACAUGAUUUAAGAAAUACACAAAUCCAGCUGGGAAAGAAUAAAGGAUCAAGUCCUCAUCAGCUCCGUGCCAAACAUGGGAGGAUUGAAUCUGAAUGCAACAGCAGCUGUGCACAGCCAGAUGAUCAGCAUUCAUGUGCUUCACAAGUGUGUACAG